GCCAACCAUAAUUUAUAACAUUCCCUGCACCUGUGCUCUGUCCUGUCCAAUUACAAGUGUGAUGGUUGGUAACCCAACCCAGUGAAGAUGCUAUAGUGGUCCCCAAACGUACAUCGGUGACCAGUGAAGCAGCCAGGCAACUGUUGUCACAUUCACAGGCUUUCCAAUCUGAGCCACUGAAGCUGUAACUCCUUCAGAGCUGUCACUAGACUCUUGGUGACCUCGCCCACCAAUCUCUUCCUGCAUGGGCUGUCAGUUUUUAAGGAUGGCCGGUACAAGGGUUGCAGCACGCAGACGUUUGCCAUCUCACACUUUUGCAGCUCAAGAACGCUUCUUCAAGAAAACUGCAGUUCGCAAAGCUGAUGGCCGGAUAAUAUGUGGAGCAUAUGGGGGAAUUGGAACAACAUGAUAGCUGCAUUCUCACCCCUUCAUGCAGGUUCUCCCGGGAACAUACUAAGCUUCAGUCUUCCCCCAUCCGCAGCGCAGUUUUAA